rnacentral:rRNA from 1 species
AACGGUACGGGGAACCGUCGCCCCAUAGUCGUGGGAUACACUUGGAAACAGGUGCUAAUACCGGAUAAGAAAGCGGAUCGCAUGAUCAGCUUUUAAAAGGCGGCGUAAGCUGUCGCUAUGGGAUGGCCCCGCGGUGCAUUAGCUAGUUGGUAAGGUAAAGGCUUACCAAGGCGAUGAUGCAUAGCCGAGUUGAGAGACUGAUCGGCCACAUUGGGACUGAGACACGGCCCAAACUCCUACGGGAGGCAGCAGCA